rnacentral:rRNA from 1 species
GACGAACCGUGCGAACGUUAUUCGGAAUCACUGGGCUUAAAGCGCGUGUAGGCGGAUGGGCACGUCGGUAGUUGAAAGCCCCCGGCUCAACCGGGGAAGUGGUGCCGAAACGACCCGUCUGGAGGGACGUAGGGGGACCUGGAACUUCCGGUGGAGCGGUGAAAUGCGUUGAGAUCGGAAGGAACGCCCGUGGCGAAAGCGAGAUCCUGGACGUCUACUGACGCUGAGACGCGAAAGCUAGGGGAGCAAACGGG